GGCAUGCGUGUGUGUGUGUGUGUGUGUGUGUGUGUGUGUGUGUGUGCGCCCUCAGGAGUGCGUGCAGUGUGUAGCAGCGACAC
rnacentral:miRNA from 1 species